rnacentral:lncRNA from 1 species
CUAAGCUUUAUAGCUUCGUAUUUAAAAUAUCACACAUUAAUCAUUAUACAUACGGGUAUUUGUCAGCGAACAAUCGUAUUCUGACGUCAUUUGCUCCUGGACUUCGAAGAAGAAACUUCUGCGCUCUCGGCGAAAAAAUUUGAACCACAAGCAUAGAUUUCCUACCAACGAACGAGUAUAAAUACCAAUCAAAUACCAUAAAAAUGUCGACGAACCUGUGAGGAAGACGUUUGGAAGAAAUUUUGAAGAAAACGACGAAGAAAUGGCAGUAAAAUUGACACCAAAAAUUCGGCAGGGUCGAAGGACUUCGAAACCAAGAUGGCGUCGCCUUCUUCUCCAAUCUGAAAAAUGCACCGAAAAUCAUUUUAGAUGGGUUGGACAUCAACUAUAUAGGAUAUUUAAUACAGAUGUAAGUUUUCCUAUAAUUUUUUCAAGUAUGGAAAAGUAUAUUUUAUGUAAGAAAUAUUUUUUCAUUUUAAUAAAAAAUUCUACCUGCUCACUAGUAAUAAGCAGUUAUACUCCAAGAUUAAAACAUGUUCAUUUAUAUAUUGUUAAGUCAAAACCAAUCAUCUGGACAUCAUCUUAAAAAGUUAACCUAAAUAGUCGAGAAAAGUCCCUUGUAUAAAAAACUGACAAUGAACCCCCCCCCCCCUUUUUUUCCGUAUUUUCUCUUAUUGUAUAUUUGUACAAAUUUUAUUGAAAGUAAUAAAAAAUUACUAUUAUUUUUUUAGAAAGACUGCAAAAGAAAAUACAAAACCACGCCAUCAAACCAAGAAAAAUAAUUACAUGAACUGUCUCAG